GUGCAGCAGAGCAGAUGGAAGGAAUUGAGUGACCAGGCUGGAAGUAGACAAACUUUUGCCGGGAGCUUCUAUGCAUGUAACGAAGUCGGCGUAGAAGUCCAAGUUGUUUGAUAACUGAAAUGCACGAGGGGGUCGUGCAGUUGUUAAAUUCCAGCAGCUGAGAGGGGAAAUAUUUCAGCAUGGUUGGGUUACCCGUUAGCCAGCCAGGCAAUCCAGUGCCGCUAGUUGGCUGAAGGGCGGCUAGCGGGCGGCUAGCGGAGGGCGGCUGGCGGAGGGCUGGCUACUGUGGAGGUAGCGGUCCCAGGCAACGAGGCCAACCCGCACCGGGGACAGCUGAAAAACUGCCCAGGGAAAUAUCUCACAACAGCGCUGGUCGAGACAUGAGCUGGAGCGUGGUGGACGUUGAAGUAAACCAGGUGAUCCGAAUAUGGAUGACUGAAACGGCGGGUUUAGACGGGCGGCAGCAGGACCAGGACCAGGACCCACCUUUGAAAUUGGUCUCUCUCAGCACUCAGGGAGGAUCUUGGCAGCAACCUAUUCUGAGCAAACAAACCGGCCCAAGACCCACCUGACCAUGGAGCACUCCCAGAACAGAUGAUUUACGUGUCCUUCAGCACUCUGUAUGUGUAUGGGGAUCUAUACACAUACAGAUCUAGCACACACAGCGUUCUCAGGAAGGGAGUGGCAUAGUACCUAGUGAAGGUAAAUGGUAAAUGGUUGGCAUUCAUAUAGCACCUUUAUCCAAAGCGCUGUACAAUUCAUGCUUCUCAUUCACCCAUUCAUACACACACUCACACACCGACGGCAAUUGGCUGCCAUGCAAGGUGCCGACCAGCUCGUCAGGAGCAUUUGGGGGUUAGGUGUCUUGCUCAAGGACACUUCGACACAGCCCAGGCGGGGGAUCAAGCCGGCAACCCUCCGACUGCCAGACGACUGCUCUUACUGCCUGAGCCAUGUCGCCCCUUGAGAAGGUACCAGAGGCCUUCUCAACCUUCUGGACAUUCUGGGCCAGUGUGGCCAGACCCUGCGCCAGAAUGAUCUUAACCAUGUCUGGGACCCCCUGGCCCCCGUUCGUUUCCUCCUUCGUAGGAAAAAUUCACAGAACAAGUUGUUCUAUCUCCAUUUUAUGACAGAUCAAUCACAAGUGAAAAUCAGAUUAAACCGUCAAACUGCCAGAGUUGAGCAAGCUGGUUCCUCCAAAACUCUCAAAAGCUUCAUGUCAAAAGUAUACCAAUAUGUAUGCAGCCUAUUCCUCAUGUAAUCAAUAUGUAUGCUGCCUAUUACUCAUGUACUCAAUAUGUAUGCUGCCUAUUACUCAUGUAAUCAAUAUGUAAUCCAGUGAACCUAUAUAAUUAAUUACGGGUGAGCUAAUGGAAACGCAAGAAACCACAGUGUCAACUGUAGAAGAAAAAGCAAAAGAAUGCGUCUGGCUGAAAAACCACACUUACUUAGAAGAGAACAUUAAUCAAAUAUUAAUCAAGUAUGAUUAAGUAUGCCUGUAUAUUUUUUAAACUGAUAAAGUGCUUUGUGCUAGAAGUACACAGUGACCCAUAUGUAACCUGAGUUGAAUACAAUAAUGUGUAUGCUUAAAAUGAAAAUUGGAAAGUACAGAAUAGCACCAUGUUUUGCAUGAAUUCAUCUUUUAUGAUUCCUCUGUGUUAAAAAGCAGUUUGUGGGACGGGGGCGACUUGAACAGCUUGCAGGACAAGGAGUCUUGCUUUGUAGGCUGUCUUUGCCAAAAUAGUUUGCGGGGCAGGGUGACCUGACCAGCUUGCAGGGCGGGAUGUCUUUCUUUGAAGACUGUCAUUUUCAAGGACAGUUUACAGAACAAGAUGUGAUAAGAACAUUUAUUUUUUAAAACAGCAUACAAAGCAAAAAUGUGGGCCUGCGCAUUGAGGCGCCACAGAGACCACCUGGUGUUUUUAGGAAUGUUUUGAGAGGAGUUACGUUGAAAGUAGUGUAUGAAAUGUGUAUGAAACUAACAAUUGAGGUUCAGUUCUGCAGAAUUGAUCCGGCUUUGUGCACUUGUGCUAAUAAAGUCUGAUUUUCCUGAA